ACGGGUGAGUAAUGUCUGGGAAACUGCCUGAUGGAGGGGGAUAACUACUGGAAACGGUAGCUAAUACCGCAUAACGUCGCAAGACCAAAGAGGGGGACCUUCGGGCCUCUUGCCAUCAGAUGUGCCCAGAUGGGAUUAGCUAGUAGGUGGGGUAAUGGCUCACCUAGGCGACGAUCCCUAGCUGGUCUGAGAGGAUGACCAGCCACACUGGAACUGAGACACGGUCCAGACUCCUACGGGAGGCAGCAGUGGGGAAUAUUGCACAAUGGGCGCAAGCCUGAUGCAGCCAUGCCGCGUGUGUGAAGAAGGCCUUCGGGUUGUAAAGCACUUUCAGCGAGGAGGAAGGUGGUGAACUUAAUACGUUCAUCAAUUGACGUUACUCGCAGAAGAAGCGCCGGCUAACUCCGUGCCAGCAGCCGCGGUAAUACGGAGGGUGCAAGCGUUAAUCGGAAUUACUGGGCGUAAAGCGCACGCAGGCGGUUUGUUAAGUCAGAUGUGAAAUCCCCGGGCUCAACCUGGGAACUGCAUUUGAAACUGGCAAGCUAGAGUCUCGUAGAGGGGGGUAGAAUUCCAGGUGUA
rnacentral:rRNA from 1 species